rfam:Pelecanus crispus contig61468, whole genome shotgun sequence.
CCAAAGGCUCUUUUAAGAGCCACAUUUUUUUUUUUUUUUUUUUUUU